GGUGCUAAUACCGGAUAACAACAAUAGCUGCAUGGCUAUUGCUUAAAAGGCGGCGAAAGCUGUCGCUGAAGGAUGGACCCGCGGUGCAUUAGCUAGUUGGUAAGGUAAUGGCUUACCAAGGCGACGAUGCAUAGCCGAGUUGAGAGACUGAUCGGCCACAUUGGGACUGAGACACGGCCCAAACUCCUACGGGAGGCAGCAGUAGGGAAUCUUCCACAAUGGGCGAAAGCCUGAUGGAGCAACGCCGCGUGAGUGAAGAAGGUUUUCGGAUCGUAAAGCUCUGUUGUUGGUGAAGAAGGAUAGAGGUAGUAACUGGCCCCUAUUUGACGGUAAUCAACCAGAAAGUCACGGCUAACUACGUGCCAGCAGCCGCGGUAAUACGUAGGUGGCAAGCGUUGUCCGGAUUUAUUGGGCGUAAAGCGAGCGCAGGCGGAAAGAUAAGUCUGAUGUGAAAGCCCCCGGCUUAACCGAGGAAUUGCAUCGGAAACUGUGUUUCUUGAGUGCAGAAGAGGAGAGUGGAACUCCAUGUGUAGCGGUGGAAUGCGUAGAUAUAUGGAAGAACACCAGUGGCGAAGGCGGCUCUCUGGUCUGUAACUGACGCUGAGGCUCGAAAGCAUGGGUAGCGAACAGGAUUAGAUACCCUGGUAGUCCAUGCCGUAAACGA
rnacentral:rRNA from 1 species